UACGUAGGGUGCAAGCGUUAAUCGGAAUUACUGGGCGUAAAGCGUGCGCAGGCGGUUGCUGAAGUCCGUUGUGAAAGCCCCGGGCUUAACCUGGGAAUGGCAGUGGAAACUAGGCGACUUGAAUCUGGCAGAGGGGGGUGGAAUGCCACGUGUAGCAGUGAAAUGCGUAGAGAUGUGGCGGAACACCGAUGGCGAAGGCAGCCCCCUGGGUCGAGAUUGACGCUCAGGCACGAAAGCGUGGGGAGCAAACAGG
rnacentral:rRNA from 1 species